CUCCGGUUGAUCCCGCCGGACCCGACUGCUAUCAGAGUGGGACUAAGCCAUGCGAGUCAACAUAGCAAUAUGUGGCAUACGGCUCAGUAACACGUAGUCAACAUGCCCAGGGGACGUGGAUAACCUCGGGAAACUGAGGAUAAACCGCGAUAAGUCACUACUUCUGGAAUGGGUAAUGACUCAAAUCUAUAUGGCCCCUGGAUUGGACUGCGGCCGAUCAGGCUGUUGGUGAGGUAAUGGCCCACCAAACCUGUAACCGGUACGGGCUCUGAGAGGAGGAGCCCGGAGAUGGGCACUGAGACAAGGGCCCAGGCCCUAUGGGGCGCAGCAGGCGCGAAACCUCUGCAAUAGGCGAAAGCUUGACAGGGUUACUCUGAGUGAUUUCCGUUAAGGAAAUCUUUUGGCACCUCUAAAAAUGGUGCAGAAUAAGGGGUGGGCAAGUCUGGUGUCAGCCGCCGCGGUAAUACCAGCACCCCGAGUGGUCGGGACGUUUAUUGGGCCUAAAGCAUCCGUAGCCGGUUCUACAAGUCUUCCGUUAAAUCCAACUGCUUAACAGGUGGGCUGCGGAAGAUACUAUAGAGCUAGGAGGCGGGAGAGGCAAGCGGUACUCGAUGGGUAGGGGUAAAAUCCGUUGAUCCAUUGAAGACCACCAGUGGCGAAGGCGGCUUGCCAGAACGCGCUCGACGGUGAGGGAUGAAAGCUGGGGGAGCAAACCGGAUUAGAUACCCGGGUAGUCCCAGCUGUAAACGAUGCAGACUCGGUGAUGAGUUGGCUAUAUGCCAACUCAGUGCCGCAGGGAAGCCGUUAAGUUUGCCGCCUGGGGAGUACGGUCGCAAGACUGAAACUUAAAGGAAUUGGCGGGGGAGCA
rnacentral:rRNA from 1 species